UGGGGAAUUUUGCACAAUGGGCGGAAGCCUGAUGCAGCGACGCCGCGUGAGGGAUGACGGCCUUCGGGUUGUAAACCUCUUUCGCUGGGGACGAAGCUCCUCUUUUGGGGGGUGACGGUACCUGGAGAAGAAGCACCGGCCAACUACGUGCCAGCAGCCGCGGUAAUACGUAGGGUGCGAGCGUUGUCCGGAAUUAUUGGGCGUAAAGGGCUCGUAGGCGGUUUGUUGCGUCGGAAGUGAAAGCCCGGGGCUUAAUGUCGGGUUGGCUUUCGAUACGGGCAGGCUAGAGGUAGGCAGGGGAGAAUGGAAUUCCGGGUGUAACGGUGGAAUGUGCAGAUAUCCGGAGGAACACCGGUGGCGAAGGCGGUUCUCUGGGCCUUACCUGACGCUGAGGAGCGAAAGCGUGGGUAGCGAACAGG
rnacentral:rRNA from 1 species